rnacentral:rRNA from 1 species
UUGGAUACUGGUAUGAAUGACUUAACCUUUAUUUUUUAUUUAAGUAAAAAUUAUAAAACUUAGAGUUUUAGUAAAAAUACUAAAAUUUAUUAAAAAGACGAUAAGACCCUAAAAGCUUUAUUUUAAAAUAAUAAAUUAAUAAUUUAAAAUAUUAUAAAAAAUUUUUUACUGGGGUAGUAGUUAAAUUAAUUUUUUUUUUUUUUACUAAAGGUUAUAUAUUCCUUAUUAUUAARAUUAAAGGUAAGUUACUUUAGGGAUAACAGCGUUAUAUUAUUGAAAAAAACAUUUUUAUAAUAAUGUUUACAACCCCGAUGUUGAAUUAAAAUAAUCUUUAUAAAGCAGGUUUUAAAAAAAAAGGUUUG